rnacentral:rRNA from 1 species
UGGUAGUCCACGCUGUAAACGAUGUCGAUUUGAAGGUUGUUCCCUUGAGGAGUGGCUUUCGGAGCUAACGCGUUAAAUCGACCGCCUGGGGAGUACGGCCGCAAGGUUAAAACCCAAAUGAAUCGACGGGGGCCCGCACAAGCGGUGGAGCAUGUGGUUUAAUUCGAUGCAACGCGAAGAACCUUACCUACUCUUGACAUCCAGAGAAUUUAGCAGAGAUGCUUUAGUGCCUUCGGGAACUCUGAGACAGGUGCUGCAUGACCGUCGUCAGCUCGUGUUGUGAAAUGUUGGGUUAAGUCCCGCAACGAGCGCAACCCUUAUCCCUUGUUGCCAGCGAUUCGGUCGGGAACUCAAAGGAGACUGCCGGUGAUAAACCGGAGGAAGGUGGGGAUGACGUCAAGUCAUCAUGGCCCUUACGAGUAGGGCUACACACGUGCUACAAUGGCGUAUACAAAGAGAAGCGACCUCGCGAGAGCAAGCGGAACUCAUAAAGUACGUCGUAGUCCGGAUUGGAGUCUGCAACUCGACUCCAUGAAGUCGGAAUCGCUAGUAAUCGUAGAUCAGAAUGCUACGGUGAAUACGUUCCCGGGCCUUGUACACACCGCCCGUCACACCAUGGGAGUGGGUUGCAAAAGAAGUAGGUAGCUUAACCUUCGGGAGGGCGCUUACCACUUUGUGAUUCAUGACUGGGGUGAAGUCGUA